CUCAUUAAACAACUACAAUAAAGCCUCUUGCUGUUUGCAUCAAGCUUUUGCCUCCGCCUGGUGAUUGGGGUAGUCGCAGUCCUGGGCUGAGAUCCUGGAGGCCUGAGCCUCCAGGGGUCUUUCACCAGUAUUUAUGUCUCUAGUAAUCACCAAGAUAUUGCACACUAGCAGCAGCACUUGAUCCUUGCCAACAAGCAACUGAGCCCACAAUGAGUGAAACCAAGGUCUCAGGAAUCUGGGAGCUCCCAAUACUCUUCUUCAUCGAAGGUGGAAAGCUUUGCAUGGGGCUUCACUCCAGUGAUAUAUUUUCUGUUGCUUCUCUAGCCAUCUCCUGUGACAUUCCGACAUCCCAUAUGCAACUCUUCUUUCUGCAUGUUGGAGGUCAAGACACAUUCACCCUGAUGGAUCUUGGGAGAAUGUUUCAGUUUCCAGCUCAUGUUGUUAUGGGAAACCGACCUCAUACAUUCUGUGAUCCUCACCAUUGGUUCCUCAGUGCCCAUGAAGAAAACAUUUGUGGAAAUGUAAUGCCUCCUGUUUAGAUGCACCUAAAUUCUAUUUUCAUGUACUUAAUUUCCACACCUGACAGAGAAUAAGGAUCAAUCUGAAAAGACAUGUAAGAUACCUACAUCACUUUUACAUCAGUUGCUGACAUGGUACCUAGAUGGAAAUAGCUGUCGUCCACAUCUAGAGUUGGAGGUGGGGAAUAAAAUCAUCUAUUUCAAAUUUUUAGAUUAUUUCUUUUUACUUCAGUUAUUAAACUAGUUGGAUAUCCCUUUUCUUAGUUAGGGUUUCUUUUGAUGCUAGACAGACUAGUUGGGAAGAAAAGAAUUAAUUGGCUUACACUUGUUAAGAUAAAUCUUUCCCCAAAAAAGCCACCCAAGCCCCAUAGCCAAGUGUGCACUUUGCGCCAGCUGCCCAAGUUCUGCCUGCCGCAUGAAUGGACAAAAUAAUACAGAGACUUAUAUUAGGUUUAAAUGCUGCUUGGCCAAUGACUAGGAUUUCUCAUCUGUUAUCUCAGUCUUAAUUAUCAUAAAUCUAUAUAUUUUAUAAGACUUAUCUUAUCAGACACCUUCCAUUGCUGUCCUCCCUUGGCAGUGGAUCAUAUGGCUGCUGGAGGAAGCGAAGGGGAAAGGGGCCACUUUCUGUUUCUCCAUGCUUAAAUAUGAGUCUCCUUACUAUGUCACUUCCUGUCUGGAUCACCACUUCCCAACUACAUUUCCCAGAAUCCUCUUUGACUCCUAGUCCCAUCUAACUUGCUGCCUCAUUGGCCAAACAGUACUUUAUUCAACAAUCAAUAAUGUAAACAUACACAGAAGUACAUUCUCCAUCACACACUUGCAGAUCAUUGUCAUUUGAGGAAGUCAGGACAGGAACUCAAAUGGGGGAGGAACCUGGAGGCAGGAGCUAAUGUAGAGGCCAUAGAGGGCCAUAGCAUGUAGACCUAUGCUUACUGGCUUGCUGCCCAUGGCUUGCUCAGGCUGCUUUCUUAUAGAACCCAGAACCACCAGCCCAGGCAUGAUACCACCCACAAUGGGCUGAGCCCUCCCACAUCAAUCACUAAUGAAGAAAAAUGCCUUACAGCUGGAUCUUAUGAAGGCAUUUGCUCAAUUGAGGCUCCCUCCUUUCAGAUAACUCUAGCUUGUGUCAAGUUGACAUAAGAGUAGCCAGUUCACCUUCCAUGCAAUAUCCUCACCUAGAUUAUUAGUUGUCUGGACCAGAUACAUUAGUGUCAAGACAGGGAAGCAAAGGAAAAGAUGACCAGCAAUAUCACAUCUCUUCUCAGACAAAGUCAUUUAAUUUAAUGCUUGCUUCCUAACUUUCUAGCUCUAAGCACAGAAUUCCUUUACUCCUAACCUGUUUGCCAGUCAUUUUUCUUGAUUCAUACUGUGUCUGUGAAUGACUCUUUAUAAUAUAAAAGAUAGAUUUAUGUUUUCACUGUUCAAUCAUAUCAUAAAUUUAAAUUGUGAAAAUAAAGGCAUACUUUUUUGUCCACAUAACACAAUAGUUCUUACCCAGGGACGGUUUUUGUUUUCUGGGAGAAAUUUGCCAAAAUCUGAAGACAUUUCUGAUUGUCACCAGAGAGACCACUACGGGCAGUUAGUGGGUGGAGACCUGGACUAUUUAACAAAACACCCUAUGAUGCAUAGGAAAGCCUUCCUUAAACCCUCCAUCCAUGAGUUGCCUCUCUGUGCUGACCGGUGAAAGUCUGCUUCAUUUACUAUAACACAUUCAACAAUGUUGUCACUCAUAGUCAAGAUGCCAAGAGAGAACAGGAGUCCAGACUGUUGCAACAGGGCAAUGACAGAGAAACUGAAUGACCUCAAGGGGGCGGUUUAAUUUUCUAGUAACUGAACAGAACCACAGAAUCUUUCCCUCUGAACACUUUAAGGAACCAAGGUCAUGUACUACACACAUUUGGUAAAUCUGCAAUCAACAUGUUUUCCAAGUUGAAAAUGGUUAGAUGGACAGAUGAAUGGAAGAAUGAAUGAAUAAAAGGAUGACUAAACAGUUCCUGCCUCCAGGUUCCUGCUUGAGUCCUUGGUUUGGAUUCCCUCAAAGAUGGACUGUCGAUAAAGCUGAAAUUAAACCAUCUCUCUCCAAGAUGGUUCUGGUCCAUGUUUUAUCCCAGAAACAGAAAGAAUAUUGGAAUAAGACUGUGGAGAGAUGAAGUGCUUCCUAUACUGGCACUGAUGUUCAGCCUUGCUUCCAUCUCAAAGUGAUGAAACCAGAGCAUCAUGGGUUGAACCCAAGAGAUGAAGACAGUAUACUGAUAAGCAAUAGACCAAAGUGUUGAAGAUACAGAGAAGAGCUUCAGCUGAGAAAGACCCAACCUGCCUAGCCAAUUACAGCUCUGCUAUCCACCUCUCCUGUUUCCUUGCACGAGACUUCUUCCUAUAAAAGGCAACAGAGGUUUUAUCCUCUGUCACCUGCCUGCCUGGCUUCAUCUCCCAUGUUGGUCUCUAUCUUGCGGACUUCGUGAUGAGAGUCGCCUGCUGUCUUGCUGACAUAUUUUUGGCUCAAGGAACUCUGAAGAAGAGGAGAAAAGAGAGUAAGAAACAGAAAAGAAGAAAGACACAAGUAAACAAGACAGACCCUCCAAAUCAACAGACUCAAUGAACAUAUGAACUCACACAGAGCCUGAACAAGCUGCACUAGAUGAGGUGCUAGACCUAAAAGAAGUGGACAAAAGCCCCCAGCUCUAACCAGGAAGUUAUCUCCAAAAGGGAGUCUCACUGAGAAAAAUAACCACUCUUAAUGGUAGGCCCCCAUGCACAGCAGUAGAUGACCAACACAAAACUAACCUAGUGGGAUCUUUGGAGAAUUUUGUCUAUAAUGUUGAGUCAGGAGAUUUUUGCUUUAUUCUCUUUCUUUCUUCCUUUCUUUCUUUCUUCUUUUCUUUCCCCACUUCAUAGACCCCUUGCAUAUGGAUUCAGGUUUUAUGUUUUUAUAGGAUUCCUCUGUGUGCAGACAAGUGUGUCUAUGUGACUGUAUGUGUUUCUUGAGCUUUUUCUUUGACUCUUUUUCCUGUUUGUUUUGUCCUAUUCCAAUUUGUUUGUUUUCUGUCUUAUUUUAUUAUUAUUACUUAGAUUCCUUUUUAUUUUCUAAAAAGAGAUUUUUAAAAUGGUGUGGAUCCAGAUAGGAGGGGAGGUGGAAAGCAACUGGGAACAGCAGGCAGAGGGGAAACUGUAAUCACAAUAUAUGGUAUGAAAAAAAUUUUCAAUUAAAAAUAAAAAUAAAGGAAACUAGGGACUAAGAUAAAAAUAAGAUAAAACAAAAAAGAAAAUGGAAAUUAAGAGGGUAAACUAGUCAGACAAUUAACCUGAAUAGUGGUAGUAUAAGAGACUGAGGGAAACUAUGCAACAUUUGAGAGUACUUACAGUGCAGUGGUGUUACAGAAAAUAUCAAGAUGAACACAUACAUGGGUAGUGGAUUACCAGUAGUUAUGAAAUUUCUCUGAAAAGAAAAAAGUUCUUUACCACUGUUGAUGGAGUUUCUGUGUCACUAGGUCCCACUGUUUAGUCCCAAAUAAAUACACAGGGGUUUAUAUUAAUUAUUAACUGUUUGGAAGAUGGCUCGGGCUUCUUAUUCCCAAGCUCUCUCUUAAUUACUAACCCAUUUCUAUAAAAUCUAUUUAUUCUAUGUAGUCUUGGCUUACCAGAGAAUGCCCAGUCGUUCUAUCUUCCUGGUAGCUACUUGGCUUCUCCCCCUCAACUCCUCUCUUCAUCCCUCUUCUUGCCUUCUCCUAGUCUGGUAGCCCCACCUAUACUUCCUGUCUGGCUACAUCCUGCCUGUCCAUUGACCAAAACAGCUUUAUUCAUCAACCAAUAAGAGAAACAUAUAUUCACAGAAUACAGAUGGACAUCUCCCAUCAACCACAGCAUCACCAACUUAAGAUAUGUUAAAAACAAGCAGCUUUCACAGUUGCAAGUGAGCCACUGACAACCAAAGGUCAAGGGCAUUACUAUUAUAUACCCAGAAAUGACUUCUUUAAGGCAUAUUUAAGGUCAUGGAGGGUUCGAUAUUAAAGGAAAACACGACAUGCCCUGUGAUCCCUGUUCUACUUGAAAGUAUUUUGCCAAAUUUCUAUAAUGAAAGAGAAUAACACAGCAGGCCUAAAGAGUGCACUCUGUAAUUUUGGCUGUGUAUGUGUAGAUGCAUAUGUGUGUACAUUUGUAUGCUUGUGUAUAUGUAUAUCUGUGUGUAUGUGUGUGUAGAUGUGUGUGUAGAGAUGUAUGUAUGUAGAUGUGAACACCUGUAUAAAUGUGUAUAGAUGUAUAUGUCUAAGUGUGUGUUGAUGUGUGUGUAGGUGCGUGUAGAUGUGUGUGUAUAAGUGUG